CAGAAGGCUUCCUCCUGAGCCAGGCAGAGGAGCAGAAGGAGCCGGUCGAGUUGCAGUGGACAGGAGAGAUCCUGAGGGAAGGAGGAAUCCAUCCAGUCCCCCUCAGGACCCGUUUUUCAGAAGGAUCUCUCAGGAAGAUCCAAGUGAGGACACCUCAGGAGGGAAGACUCGAACGAAGUUGUCUGCUCUUUCUGGUGGAGCUGAAACAGUGGCUCCACCUACAGCUCCAGUAAGAGGAGGAAAUUUAUCUCUUGAAUUUGUAUUCUCCCUUUCCUGCAGGCAGUCAAGCUGGUGUAUAUAUCACUCUCUCCUUCCAUUUCCCCCCCUUUUUUGGGCCUGGGUGUUUUCUUGU